UACGGAGGAUGCGAGCGUUAUCCGGAUUUAUUGGGUUUAAAGGGUGCGCAGGCGGCGUGUCAAGUCAGCGGUAAAAUGUCGGGGCUCAACCCCGGCCGGCCGUUGAAACUGGCGUGCUCGAGUUGGAGAGAAGUAUGCGGAAUUCGUGGUGUAGCGGUGAAAUGCAUAGAUAUCACGAAGAACCCCGAUUGCGAAGGCAGCAUACCGGCUCCAAACUGACGCUGAGGCACGAAAGCGUGGGUAUCGAACAGG
rnacentral:rRNA from 1 species